AAAUUUAAAAAUGUUUUAUUGUUUUGUAUAGGCAUUAGAACUAAACGAAGUGCAUAAAGAACAAGUCGUGUCUUUUCUUAGAUUUGCCAAAUAUCAACGAGCUCAAUGUUUGAAAUCAGUUCGAGCUGUUAUUCAAGAUACAAAGGAUCCUAGAUUGACAGAUGAUACAUAUACUCUAGAUGAAGUAGAAGAAACUAUGACAGAUGAUA